UAAACAACUCUCGGCAACGGAUAUCUCGGCUCUCGCAUCGAUGAAGAACGUAGCGAAAUGCGAUACUUGGUGUGAAUUGCAGAAUCCCGUGAACCAUCGAGUCUUUGAACGCAAGUUGCGCCCGAAGCCAUUAGGUUGAGGGCACGUCUGCCUGGGCGUCACGC
rnacentral:rRNA from 2 species